UACAGAGGGGGCAAGCGUUAUUCGGAAUUAUUGGGCGUAAAGGGCGCGUAGGCGGCCUUUCAAGUGACGGGUGAAAGCCCUCGGCUUAACCGAGGAACUGCCUGUCAGACUGGAAGGCUUGAGACCGGGAGAGGUGAGUGGAAUUCCCAGUGUAGCGGUGAAAUGCGCAGAUAUCGGGAAGAACACCCGUGGCGAAGGCGGCUCUCUGGGACGGUACUGACGCUGAGACGCGAAAGCGUGGGGAGCGAACAGG
rnacentral:rRNA from 1 species